rnacentral:rRNA from 1 species
AUUGAACGCUGGCGGCAUGCCUUACACAUGCAAGUCGAACGGCAGCACGGGAGCAAUCCUGGUGGCGAGUGGCGAACGGGUGAGUAAUAUAUCGGAACGUGCCCAGUCGUGGGGGAUAACGUAGCGAAAGCUACGCUAAUACCGCAUACGAUCUGUGGAUGAAAGCGGGGAUCGCAAGACCUCGCCCGAUUGGAGCGGCCGAUAUCAGAUUAGGUAGUUGGUGAGGUAAAGGCUCACCUAGCCGACGAUCUGUAGCUGGUCUGAGAGGACGACCAGCCACACUGGGACUGAGACACGGCCCAGACUCCUACGGGAGGCAGCAGUGGGGAACUUUGGACAAUGGGCGCAAGCCUGAUCCAGCAAUGCCGCGUGCAGGAUGAAGGCCUUCGGGUUGUAAACUGCUUUUGUACGGAACGAAACGGCGAGCUCUAAUACAGUUUGCUAAUGACGGUACCGUAAGAAUAAGCACCGGCUAACUACGUGCCAGCCGCCGCAGUAA